GAGAUAGGAGAAGAUUCGAGUACGACUUGGCGAUGCUCACUUCUUGUUGAUUCCUUUGCCCGCAGUGGACUUUUGAACGUUGAAAUUGUAUUUGUGGAGUUUAUACUCAGUGUUCAUCGAUGGCAGUAUUAUUUGUGUUGUUGUAAUAUGAAGAAGUGAUCUUAUCAUGGGUGCAUUUCUAGAUAAGCCAAAAACAGACAAACACAACGAGAAUGGGGUUGGCAAUGGACUUCGUUAUGGGCUGUCUAGUAUGCAGGGCUGGCGCAUUGAAAUGGAGGAUGCCCAUGCUGCUGUAGCCAAUCUUCCUGGUGUUCUAAAGGAUUGGGCAUUUUUUGCUGUGUUUGAUGGCCAUGCCGGUGCCAAAAUAUCGGCACACUGUUCAGAGCACCUCCUGAAUUCCAUCACAUCAGGCGAGGAAUUUCUACCAUCCUCAAUUGCUGAGUUUGAGACAGAUUCAGAGGAGAGGACUAUAAACAAGAUUAAGAAGGGUAUUCAUGCCGGUUUUUUAAGACUAGAUGAGUCUAUGCGGCAAAUGCCAGAGGUUGCCAGUGGGGAAGAUAAGAGUGGCACAACUGCUGUAUGUGCCCUAAUUUCUCCAACACAUGUGUUUGUUGCCAAUUGUGGAGAUUCCCGUGGAGUCCUAUACCGUGGUGGUGGUAUUGGGUUCAGCACGCAGGAUCACAAGCCAGUCAAUCCUACAGAAAAGGAGAGAAUUCAAAAUGCUGGAGGAAGUGUGAUGAUACAGAGAGUUAAUGGCUCUCUGGCUGUUUCAAGAGCACUUGGAGAUUAUGAGUACAAAAAUGUAGAGGGGAAGGGUCCUUGUGAACAGUUAGUGUCCCCAGAGCCAGAGAUAUAUGUGGAACGCCGGCAAGAUGAUGAUGAGUUCUUAGUGUUAGCAUGUGAUGGAAUUUGGGAUGUUAUGACCAAUGAAGACCUGUGUGCCUUUGUGCGGUCAAGACUUCUCAUCUCUGAUGACCUUGAAGCCAUUACAAACCAUGUUGUUGACACAUGCCUUCAUAAGGGAAGCAGAGAUAAUAUGAGCUUAGUGUUGAUUACUCUGCCAGGAGCACCAAAAGUUUCAGAAGAGGCUAAGAAGAAAGAACAAGAACUUGAGGACUUGAUAGAAAAGAAAGUAACUGAGUUAUGUAAACAGGAGGGACAAGUGAGCAUUGCACAGAUAAUGCAGUCCCUUGCUGAUGAAAAUCUACCCAAUCUUCCUCCUGGUGGAGGUCUAACAUCCAAGCGAGGCUUCGUGGAUCAAAUAUUCAGAAAAUUGCGACCUGACUGUGCAAACUUGGAUAACAUGGAAGAAGUUGAGGAUUAUGGUGGACUGGUUGGUAAUUUGAUGUUCCUCCCAAGUACAUCCAUGCAAGACAAGCUAGCCUCCAUUUUGGAAAUCUCCCGAUCCCGUGAUGACUCCUCUUAAGAAUGUUGGUGAUGAUGCAGGGUUGCUCAGGGUUAGGGUGGGGGUACAAGGAUAAUGAUGCCUACAGUAGUGAUUGUUGCACCUAGGGUCUCCUGAUCUUAUCACCAGCCACAGCUACCCAGCGGUUAAAAAAAAAAAAAAAAAAAAAAAAAAAAAAAAGAUAAAAAAACUUUUAAAGUGUUGAUGUGCUGAUGUUACAGUUUAUGCAAGUGUGCAGAAGCAUUCAACAAACAGGUCAAGUUCAGUGAUGAAUUGACCUUGGGUGAAGCCUUAGUGAUGCUUUUACUCACCAUUGCAUGACUAAUCUUGGUCAUGAUACAUUAAUGUUAUUUGUGUUAAUGGUGGGGAAGUCUGUGGGAAUGUUUCCCUGGGUUCUUAAUGAUGAUAGUUUGUAAUCCGGGCUUACUCAUGUAGCUUUCUAGCUGUGUAACUUAUUUACUUAUCUGCCAUGAAUUUUUGUAAGAAAACCCAGGUACGUAUUACCUAUGAUACAUUAGAGAACCCAGUUGUUCAUUUGCCAACUACUCCACUGCAUGGCUAUGUCACGGAUCUGAGAGGUGUUAUUAGAAGCAGAAAAAAAGUGUGUGUAAUGCUGUCAGGCCUGAGGCUUCAUAUAUGGUUGAUGAGUCACUGACUUGCCCUAAAUAUUUUUGCAGUCAGAUGUGCUAGUUUCAUAAUGUGAUAGUCGUAAUGCUUUCCCCUUCCAGACAAAACUUAGUAUCACCUGUGAAUCACUGAGUGUAUAGAGCCAGUCCAUUUUGAUAUAUAUAUAUAUAUAUAUAUAUAUAUAUAUAUAUAUAUAUAUAUAUAUAUAUAUAUAUAUAUAUAUAUAUAUAUGUGUGUGUGUGUGUGUGUGUGUAUGUAUAUAUAUCAAGGUCAUAGUUAAGACUGAAAUCUCGCAAUUAUUAAUCCUUACUGUAUGUUUCGGUUUAUAAGGUAACUGAUCUUGUAAAAGAAUUUAGAUUUUCAAGAUAAGUUGAGUUUUUUUUAGCAAUUUUCUCUGUAUUAGAUGCUGUCCUCUCCCUUAAUGGUGCAUCUGUUCAAGAGAAAUGAGGCUUCAACUGAACCUUUUACGACUGUGAAGGCAUGACUGCUCUUGAAACCGAAUGAAUCUAGUUCCACAUGGAUGUUCAUGGACGGUUUCCCAAGUUAUUUAGUACUCAUAACAUACUACCCACAUCACCAUUAUUUAUCUAUUUAAUUGUAUCAAAACUUGCUUCCAGAAAAUCUUUAUCUCUGCACUUUCUUGUUAGGGAAUAUUACAUUUAGAAAAUUUAUGAAAACUGAAAAUUUCACAAAAUUAUCAAAAUAUUUUUUUUCUAAUACUGUCAAUCAUUAGUAAUACUUUUUUUGCAUAAGUAAAGGCUGUAUCUCAACUUUUUGUUUAAAAACAAAAGAACAUUACUUUUGAAAAUAACAUAUUGAUGCAUUUCUUCUUUACUGUGUGGGUUAUCACAUGUGUUGCAUUAUUUCCAUUUUCUUUUCAUGCAUGUAGUUAACAGUAGGAAAAUUCUUGUAAUUUCAACUUGUGUUUAGUAUGAUAAAUUUGGCACUUCUUUUGAAAAAUUACAUCCAAGUAUUGUAUGGACUGGAUGAGGACCUUAUCAGUGCUGGCCUAAGUUUUUGAGAGGAAAUAUUCAUGCCACCUCUCAUCUCCAUCUUAUGCCAGUAUUCCUGCAUUUAUAAAAGUACUUGAAAGAUUAAUUUUUGUCUCUCAAAACUUAUGAGCUAUUGGAAAA